GUAAUACUCCCUCCAUCCCAAAAUUCUUGUCUUAGAUUUGUCUAAAUAUGGAUGUAUCAAGUCACAUUUUAGUAUUAGAUACAUCCGUAUCUAGACAAAUCUAAGAUAAGAAUUUUGGGACGGAGGGAGUAUUAU
rnacentral:pre_miRNA from 1 species